rfam:Hordeum vulgare subsp. vulgare, WGS project CAJW01000000 data, contig: morex_contig_57880
AAUAUACUUCCUCCGUCCCAAAAAUUUUGUCUUAGAUUUGUCUAUAUAUGAAUGUAUCUAGUCACAUUUUAGCAUGUAGAUACAUCCAUUUCUAGACAAACCUAAGACAAAUUUUUUGGAACGGAGGGAGUAUAUC